rnacentral:rRNA from 1 species
UACGUAGGGUGCAAGCGUUACUCGGAAUUAUUGGGCGUAAAGCGCAUGUAGGUGGUUUUGUAAGUCUGAUGUGAAAUCCCUGGACUCAAUUCAGGAACUGCAUUGGAUACUGCAAGACUAGAGUAUGGGAGAGGUAGGCGGAAUUCCUGGUGUAGAGGUGAAAUUCGUAGAUAUCAGGAGGAACAACAGAGGCGAAGGCGGCUUACUGGACCAUAACUGACACUGAGAUGCGACAGUGUGGGGAGCAAACAGG